rnacentral:rRNA from 1 species
CCUACGGGAGGCAGCAGUGAGGAAUAUUGGUCAAUGGUCGGGAGACUGAACCAGCCAAGCCGCGUGAGGGAUGAAGGUACAGAGUAUCGUAAACCUCUUUUGUCAGGGAACAAAGGCGGGGACGUGUCCCCGGAUGAGUGUACCUGACGAAAAAGCAUCGCCCAACUCCGUGCCAGCAGCCGCGGUAAUACGGGGGAUGCGAGGGUUAUCGGGAUUUAUUGGGUUUAAAGGGUGCGCAGGCGGUCUGUUAAGUCAGCGGUAAAAGCCCGGGGCCAAACCCCGGGCCGCCGUUGAAACUGGCAGUCUCGAGUUGGAGAGAAGUAUGCGGAAUGCGCGGUGUAGCGGUGAAAUGCAUAGAUAUCGCGCAGAACUCCGAUUGCGAAGGCAGCAUGCCGGCUCCACACUGACGCUGAGGCACGAAAGCGUGGGUAGCGAACAGGAUUAGAUACCCUUGUAGUC